GAUGAACGCUGGCGGCGUGCCUAAUACAUGCAAGUCGAGCGAAUGGAUUAAGAGCUUGCUCUUAUGAAGUUAGCGGCGGACGGGUGAGUAACACGUGGGUAACCUGCCCAUAAGACUGGGAUAACUCCGGGAUACCGGGGCUAAUACCGGAUAACAUUUUGAACCGCAUGGUUCGAAAUUGAAAGGCGGCUUCGGCUGUCACUUAUGGAUGGACCCGCGUCGCAUUAGCUAGUUGGUGAGGUAACGGCUCACCAAGGCAACGAUGCGUAGCCGACCUGAGAGGGUGAGCGGCCACACUGGGACUGAGACACGGCCCAGACUCCUACGGGAGGCAGCAGUAGGGAAUCUUCCGCAAUGGACGAAAGUCUGACGGAGCAACGCCGCGUGAGUGAUGAAGGCUUUCGGGUCGUAAAACUCUGUUGUUAGGGAAGAACAAGUGCUAGUUGAAUAAGCUGGCGCCUUGACGGUACCUAACCAGAAAGCCACGGCUAACUACGUGCCAGCAGCCGCCGUAA
rnacentral:rRNA from 1 species